AACAUGUCAAGUCGAACGAUGAACCUCACUUGUGGGGGAGAUUAGUGGCGAACGGGUGAGUAACACGUGAGUAACCUGCCCUUGACUCUGGAAUGAGCCUGGGAAACUGGGUCUAAUACCGGAUAUGACCUUCCAUCGCAUGGUGGUUGGUGGAAAGCUUUUGUGGUUUUGGAUGGACUCGCGGCCUAUCAGCUUGUUGGUGGGGUAAUGGCCUACCAAGGCGACGACGGGUAGCCGGCCUGAGAGGGUGACCGGCCACACUGGGACUGAGACACGGCCCAGACUCCUACGGGAGGCAGCAGUGGGGAAUAUUGCACAAUGGGCGCAAGCCUGAUGCAGCGACGCCGCGUGAGGGAUGACGGCCUUCGGGUUGUAAACCUCUUUCAGUAGGGAAGAAGCGAGAGUGACGGUACCUGCAUAAUAAGCGCCGGCUAACUACGUGCCAGCAGCCGCGGUAAUACGUAGGGCGCAAGCGUUAUCCGGAAUUAUUGGGCGUAAAGAGCUCGUACGCGGUUUGUCGCGUCUGCCGUGAAAGUCCGGGGCUCAACUCCGGAUCUGCGGUGGGUACGGGCAGACUAGAGUGAUGUAUGGGAGACUGGAAUUCCUGGUGUAGCGGUGAAAUGCGCAGAUAUCAGGAGGAACACCGAUGGCGAACGCAGGUCUCUGGGCAUUAACUGACGCUGAGGAGCGAAAGCAUGCGGAGCGAACAGGAUUAGAUACCCUGGUAGUCCAUGCCGUAUACGUUGGGCACUAGGUGUGUGGGACAUUCCACGUUUUCCGCGCCGUAGCUAACGCAUUAAGUGCCCCGCCUGGCGAGUACGGCCGCAAGGCUAGAACUCAGAGGAAUUGACGGGAGCCCGCACAAGCGGCGGAGCAUGCGUAUUAAUUCGAUGCAACGCGAAUAAACUUACCAAGGCUUGACAUGAACCGGACCGCUGCAGAAAUGUGGUUUCCUCUCUGCGGCUGGUUUACAGGUGGUGCAUGGUUGUCGUCACCUCGUGUCGUGACAUGUU
rnacentral:rRNA from 1 species